GUGUUUAAUAACCAGCUGGCAGGCUUCAAAUAAAUCCUCACCUGAGUAGAACAGCAUAUGACUCUCAAGGAUCACUAUUGUUUUUACCAAUUUAAAAAUGCAAGUAGAAUUUUUAUGUAUGUGAUGGUGGCUCUUGGCUUUAUGAGUUCGGUGUGUGUGUUCCCUGCAGUUUUCUUUUGUGUCUGACGGAGCCGGGACUUUUCCCUGUUUUUAACGCCGAGAGGGUUUGUGUCGGGUCACGCGUCAGCGCCAGCGAGUUAGUCUGACAUGGCGUCUGGCAGCGCUCCCUGUUUCGUCUUUGAGGAAUUCGGGGUGAGGUGGUGUCAGAGCUGUUGCGGCGUGUUUGCGGCGAGGAGCAGACGCCGGGCGUCUGCCAGUUCCUCGCUGUCGCGGGAAAGCGGAACGUCGCUCCAAGACUGAAGCAGGAAGCAGAGAUUGUAUACACACACGUACCCUUUUUGUGCUCGGCUCAUAACAUUGAAGAUUCUGUCUCCUUUCCGCUUAAUCUAGAACAUUCAAGCAUUUCAUGCAUCUUCUGAUAAUGAGUUAAGGGACAUGGCCAAGUACUGUAUUGUUACAAUGCUUAUUAUGUAAUGCGAUACAGCACCAGAACCCCCUGUAGUUAAGCAACAGAGAGGAUGGAAGGAAUGCAGGAGGUGAGUACCUGGUGAGUCUAAAGAAUUUGUGAGGGCAUAUCUAUAUACGGUUCCCAUGGUGACAUCCCACUGACAGAAAGGUGACAGAUCCUUUCCUCACCCUCCUGCUGCUUUAAUGUGAUAUAAUUGGAGAGAGAGGGAGAGGGGGGUAGAGAAAGGGAGAGGGGGAGAGAGAAGGUGUUUGCUUGAUAGUCAUGCAGAGGAAAAAAACCUCCAGAAGGCAGGUUUUAUGACCGACCAUUUUACAAGUCAGUUUCUCAGCUCUCUCUAUGGUAUUUUUUUUUUUUUUUAAGAGAAAGGGAUUGUAUAGUCAGGAGCCAGUAGUACAGUACCUCUGAUCAGAGAAUGAUUUAGUCCUGGGAGACCAGGUGAGUGGAAUCUCUGGCCAAUCACUGACAUCAAUCAAUCAGUUACCUGUCAGGAAGAGAAAAAAAACAGCAGGACUACUGGCCUGGAGGGAGGCAUUUGAGUAGCACUGAUUUAUUGGUUUGUUGUCAGCUGGUUCUGGCAGUUGAAUUUGAGAGUGUUUAAGUGAUGAUGUCACAUAUUUUGAAAAAUGUAUGUGUUUGGGGGAUAAAACCCUCCAGGAUACAGUGCCUCAUUUUCAAAUGGGCCUCGUGAGCGAGCAGCAGGGCAGUAUGAGACACAAAAAUUACUCAAACUAUAUGUGGUGUAAAUGACAUGAAGGUCUGUGGUUCAAAAGAGAGGCCCCUGGCCUGGGGUUCUGUCAGUUCUGCUGUCUUAUAAAUCAGACCAUUUACAGUGUCCUAACAUGGUGCCUGUUUUACCUGCUACUUUUAUUAUAUUUCUCUCUCAUUCCCUCUCUCUCCCUCUUUUUAUUUUUAUUUUUUAAAUCUUUAUUCUAGUGUAAUGAAUUGACAAUGACAUUCUAAUAAAGGGGCAUAAAAGUCAAA